rnacentral:lncRNA from 1 species
AAGGCCAUAGAUCUUCGGAUCUAUCAUCUCUGUGUGUUUGAUCAAAUCCCCUCGAUGUUGCAUGCAAAUUGCAAGGACUUUAAUUUCACGUUUAUUUUUUCAGUAUUAAUUUCGUAGCCUUUUGAAGGUUACAGUAAUACAGCUCCUCCCCAGUUCCCAUACAUGAUGCAUGGAGCGGGAAACAAGACGAGAAUAGUUUUACGUAAACAACAAACCUCCAUAAUAAUACAAGCUAUAAGCUGAAAAGAGUUGAAAUAACGAGCCUGUCUUUUGCCUAAAUCAUACAAAGAGAGAGAAUAUAUAGUUUAAUAAUUAACUCAUGCAAAUUAAAUUAUCACUAAACACAGUACUAGAUCAAUUAGCAAGUAUAAUAUAGCCUUGUUCUUGAUCGAGCUUUAAUUAAUUAGUCGCCACCUCCUCCACCAGCUCCAAGCCCGGCACCGCCAACGAAGCCAGCACCACCACCGGCACCAAAACCACCACCACCGCCUCCGCCGAAACCACCACCAGCUCCUCCACCACCCACACCGCCACC